GAUGAGCAAUACCUGAAGCUUCUGACCUGCUCGCCUCUUCGUCGGAGGUCGUAUCCCCCGAACCGAUACUUCGAUGGGCGGGUAUUCUGCAUCGAAAUACAAUAUCUUAAUGUCGUUUGAACACAUAGUUUAGUUCACAGCGAUGCUUUCGAUGGUUUCCGUUCAACUGUGUACGUUUACGCGAUGAUUCAUGUAGCAAAUUGUGUUGCUGAUUAGGGUUUGAUUGAGGUGCAAGGAGAGGUGGUAGAGUUGAUGGAUUUUACGAGCGGUGAUGGAGUCUAGUGUGUUGUUAGGGAUUUUCUCACGCUCUGGUAUAGGGGUUGUUUGCGAGUAUAAAUUUGGGAGAUAUUCAUUCACAGUGCAGAACCAGGUGAUGGUUGUAGGUUUCUGAGACUUAAAAGAUUUUUAAUUUUUUUACUAAGAGGUUUAUUUGAUCUGGGUCCAUGGUGUCCUUGUAUUUACAAAAGCCUCCUGGCGUGGAGGUUAGCAAUGACGAAGAUGCCAAACGGAGGAGAGAGUGGCUGGAAAGCAUUGGAGCUGUGUUGCAGAGGGUGGUGGGAGUUGAAGCUCGGAUGUGGCUUAUUACUACCCUAUCAUUAUUAGAGGUUCCUUCUCACGUACAGGUGGAAUGCUUUUUCGACCUAUUGCAAAAUUCGAUGCGGGAUAGUGUGAAACGUAGAGAAGAGAAUGCAGAAGGUCCUUUGGAGCUUCAAUUCACAAGGAUGCUUUGUGAAAAUAGACCUCGAAUUGCAGCGAAGUUGAUUGCCGACGACAGCAGCAUUUUUAAGAGGCUAUUUUCAGACAAUCCGAAAAACAUUCUGCUGUGGUUCGGUAAAUUUGCGGGCGCUGGACAAACUGAGCAUCAACAAGGAGCCCGUGCACUCGCAAAUUAUGCUUUUAGAAACCGUGACCUAUGUUGGCAUCUUCUUGAAUGGGAAGGGAAGCAUGCGCAAGCACCUUCAACGGUUGCUGCUAAGCCGCAUUACUUCUUAGAGCUUGAUGUUGUUAACACUGUCCAGAACUUUUUGGAAGAUGAACCUGAGUUUUGGCGGUCGGAUGAGUUUAGGGAUUCCUUGAAAGAUGGCGAAUUCUUGUCCAUUGAUAUCAUGUUUUUUGCAAAGGUGAUGGUGAAGAAGUUGGCUAGCGACAUAGAUAGUGCUUUGGACACCUGGAAGGUUCUGAAGAACUAUAUAAGAGAUGAGUCAUUUUCAAUAUUGUGUCAGCAGCUACUCCAUGUUGCUAGCGACGACAAGCUGCUAAUGUUCGUAAAUCAUUUGGGAUCAGACCUUCCGCGUGGUUACAAGAAAGAUGGCAAAAACGGCAAUACUAAUUUGGACAGAGCAGUUAGGAGCUGGAUGGAGGUUUUAUCUUUUGCUGGUAUGCAGUGGAAAAGUUUGGUGGAACCUAUGUUUUGUAAUGCGUGCAUAAAUCAUGGGCGAAAUCUUCUGCGCGCAUUACAUCAAGAGGAACAUGAAGAAGAUGCUAAUUUUUUGAAGCAGCUCAUUAACAACAGAACCAACGACGAGGAAAAAGAACACUGGGCUCUUAAAGUCAAAAUAUCAAGGAUGGAUAAAGCAAGUGUUUGUAGAUAUAUAGCCCUAGAGGCCUGGGUAUUAUUCUAUCAGUUAUCAAGCUCUGCUGGUACCAAUUUUGAAGCCGUGCUGAAUGAAAGUGGAAUUCAGUUCCGACAUCAUUCUCCGGCAAAGGAUGUCAGAAACAGGAAGAGGAAUAGGAAAAGUAGUAAACGUCCAAGGAAAAGAAAACAAAAGAGACGUCGCUCGAUUGAUGCAGAUGAUAGUGACGACGAGUCAUCCGACGACAUUGAAUUGUCAAACCCGGAGAUUUUCUCGAAAGACGAGCAGGAUUGGCGGGUCUCUAUUGACAACUACAGCUUAACUUGGACAAGGGCAGAUCUUGCGGAGUAUCUGACAGGAUUUGCUGUGCAAGGAUGGUUGGAUUGGCUGAGUAAAUCAUGACUUUGCUCGCAGCACGAACAUAUGUUAAGAACACAAUCCAUUGGCGCAAUACAUGACGUUUCUAUGCCAAGCUCAUUUUCUUCCUGAAAUAGCUGGCAUUUUUCCUGCGCUUGAGGAUAUUGGUGAGUUGAUGAUCACCCCUACAUGUUGGUGGGUCAUCUAUCUAGUUGCUUUUGUAAUUCCUGGGGUGCGGGUGUAAUUGUGUAGAAUUGAUGUGGCUUCUGGAGUCUGAAAUAACACCUGCAGGCUCACAAAGCCGAACCGGGAUUCUGGUUGGGAGAUUUAUUGACGUGUUGCUUUAAAACUCGAGUAGGAUGUUCCCAGACAGCGGCAUUACAAGAACGCCUAAUUUCUUUAAAAUACUUUGAACCAGUUCUGAGAGACGCACCGAAAGAGGCUUCUAUCCGCACCUACCACCUGACUCAUCAUCUAUAUUUUGUUGUUAUGAAGUGCAUUAAUCCGCUGUCGAAAGGCGUUGGUGCACCAUGUUACUAGGCUUUUAUUUGUAAUGACUCAAAGUUUUAAAAGAAGAAUUAUUUUAUUGCCUUCCAUGAAUUGGAAACAAAUUAUGUAGUUACCAGCUACUGUGCGUCAUUCUAAUGACGACUGUGGAAUCACAUACGUCUCGAAUUUCGUCUUUUUGGUUUUUUGCUCAAUGUUGUUGCUAUUCAAAUAUUUCCGUUAUCAAUGUUAUGCCAGAAUGACCGACAUAUUCCAAUGGGAUCAGGUUGCACUGAGGAACUGCACAAGUACAUGUAACGUACCAAACAAGGUGCCAGUAUGGAGCAACUCAGUGAGUUCUCGGACUUUAUUUCUAGCCGCACAUCGGAGGUACGCGGACGCUGCGACCUGUCUAUUAUUAGUCCUCGCUGCAGGUCCACACUAAAUCUUUCAGACUUUCCCAUCCCCAAUAGACAUCUGCUCAGGGCUCCCGGAGUGAAGCUACUCACGACUCUACUGGACAAGCCAAUGCUAUCAAGCACGUCAAGUACGACAAUUUGUUCUUCGCCGUCUAAGCAGAUGUAUGAGACCUUGCCGCCUGAACUUGAGACAUCCUCGGAGUGAUGGUGGUUGUUACUUAACUGAAGGUCAUCGGUAUUCGGCGUGGAAAUAACAGAAUUGUGCGAAGAGUGUAUUUCAGCUGGUCCUCGUGCAUCCGCACGACGUUGGCACAUGUCUUCUUGAAAGACAAAUGCAGCCGCCAUUGGGUUGUCGAAAGAGAAAUCAUCUUCAUCAACUUUGAUCCGAGCAUCCUUGAGAAUAAUUGCAACAAAUAUUACCAUCAGAGUGGCGAAACUCAAACAAAAAAAUUCGCGCAGGCAGCUUUUUGCCGUUUGAAUGGAAGGUGAGGCUGAGUGGAAAAGUACCUGAUCCUGUCUGCUUUGGACAUUAUUUGCUUGCUCCAUAUCUGGCUCAAGCAAGUCCGGCUCAGCCGCGACAUCCAUGUGUAACGGGCCUGAACUGGGCACCCACAUGGACUUUCUACCUGAUCCAAGCUCCGGCCACCAGCUUCGCCCUGAUCGCGCCCCCUCCACCACACUUCUCGAGCGGGCAGAACCUCCAAUACAGCACGUCGUUAACGAAAACGGCAUGACUGCAUCUUUCCCCCGACAAAAACCUUUCUUGGCAGAAGGACCUGGGGAAGUGGCAGGUAGUUGAUGUUUCUUGCUGACCAUUGUGGAGACAGUUCUCAGGGGUUUUGGCAUCAGAGAGACUCCAAGAGCUGCUGCCCGACGACCAGCAAUCGUAUGAGGACUUAUCCUUCUUCACUCUCCCGGAAAUAUAUAUCUCGAUAGCAGAACUUCUACGGCAAAUCUAUCUUCUCACAAUCAAAUAUCUGAUGUCCACUUGGCAUCUAAGAUCUUCCCUUGGUUCAUGAUGUGCAUGAGACUCCGGAACUCCUCAACAUAUCUGCGUUCUAAUCCACGCCCGCAGUCCAUGUCCACGGUGAAAUGUCGUAGCUUCUCCAAAGUGCUCCAGUAGAGCUAGAGCAUCCAUUGCACGAACUCUCAACUCAACGUCUGAUGUUAAGGCUUUAUCCAUAAGCAAUACCUAGCAGCGUCAAGUACUGUCUGCAUCAACUCAAGAGAAAGAUCAGAACACGGUGGAUAAUUAAUAAAGGAAGCCCAUCUGUAGCUGCAAUGUCUUUGGUUC